GAGAAGUUGAGGUAGGCUCAGUAGAUGCGAACGUAAAUGAGCCCACAUCGGCCUUUCACAUCCACUUGCCUUCCUCGCCUUUCC
rfam:Caenorhabditis brenneri strain PB2801 C_brenneri-6.0.1_Cont123.18, whole genome shotgun sequence.